AACGAACGCUGGCGGCGUGGAUAAGACAUGCAAGUCGAACGGGACAGACCGAGUAGCAAUAUUUGGAAUGUUCAGUGGCGAACGGGUGCGUAACACGUGGAUGACAUUCCGGAAAGCGGGGAAUAGCCCAGGGAAACUUGGAUUAAUACCGCAUGUGGCCGCAAGGCUAAAGACGGGGACCGCAAGGCCUGUCACUUUCCGAUUGGUCCGCGGCCUAUCAGCUAGUUGGCGGGGUAAUGGCCCACCAAGGCUACGACGGGUAGCUGGUCUUAGAGGACGACCAGCCAAACUGGAACUGAGACACGGUCCAGACACCUACGGGUGGCAGCAGUCGAGAAUCUUUCACAAUGGGGGCAACCCUGACGGAGCGACGCCGCGUGGAGGAUAAGGUCUUCGGAUUGUAAACUCCUGUCAUGCGAGAACAAGGUACUCAGGCUAAUAACCUGAUUGUUUGAUGGUACCGCAAGAGGAAGAGACGGCUAACUCUGUGCCAGCCGCCGCCGUAAGAC
rnacentral:rRNA from 1 species